GGGCCAUUUUUACCUACUUGUCAUUUGGGGCCAUUUUUACUGGGGCCAUUUUGAUUAUAUGAUGGUUGGUUUUUACAACAAUAUAUAUUCAUAAUUUAUACUUUAUAUUCUGCUACAUGUAAGAUAUACCGUAGUAGCCAGACCAGGUUUUUGUAUGCACUUUGAAGUCCAGAGAAUUUGACUUCAGAAAUUGAUUUAGGGUGGUCUCACCGAUUUUAAUAAAGAAAUAAUUCAAAAUA